rnacentral:rRNA from 1 species
GAUGAACGCUGGCGGCGUGCCUAAUACAUGCAAGUCGAGCGAACAGACGAGGAGCUUGCUCCUCUGACGUUAGCGGCGGACGGGUGAGUAACACGUGGAUAACCUACCUAUAAGACUGGGAUAACUUCGGGAAACCGGAGCUAAUACCGGAUAAUAUAUUGAACCGCAUGGUUCAAUAGUGAAAGACGGUUUUGCUGUCACUUAUAGAUGGAUCCGCGCCGCAUUAGCUAGUUGGUAAGGUAACGGCUUACCAAGGCAACGAUGCGUAGCCGACCUGAGAGGGUGAUCGGCCAAACUGGAACGGAGACACGGUCCAGACUCCUACGGGAGGCAGCAGUAGGGAAUCUUCCGCAAUGGGCGAAAGCUUGACGGAGCAACGCCGCGUGAGUGAUGAAGGUCUUCGGAUCGUAAAACUCUGUUAUUAGGGAAGAACAAAUGUGUAAGUAACUAUGCACGUCUUGACGGUACCUAAUCAGAAAGCCACGGCUAACUACGU